rnacentral:rRNA from 1 species
UUGACUGAGACACGGCCCAGACUCCUACGGGAGGCAGCAGUGGGGAAUCUUGCGCAAUGGGCGGAAGCCUGACGCAGCAACGCCGCGUGUGGGACGAAGGCUCUCGGGUUGUAAACCACUUUCAGCAGGAACGAAAUUGACGGUACCUGCAGAAGAAGCACCGGCCAACUACGUGCCAGCAGCCGCGGUAAUACGUAGGGUGCAAGCGUUGUCCGGAUUUAUUGGGCGUAAAGAGCUCGUAGGCGGCUUUGUUAGUCGGGUGUGAAAACCCCAGGCUCAACCUGGGGACGCCACUCGAUACUGCAAUGGCUAGAGUCUGGUAGGGGAUCACGGAAUUCCUGGUGUAGCGGUGAAAUGCGCAGAUAUCAGGAGGAACACCGGUGGCGAAGGCGGUGAUCUGGGCCAGUACUGACGCUGAGGAGCGAAAGCGUGGGGAGCAGACAGGAUUAGAUACCCUGGUAGUCCACGCCGUAAACGUUGGGCACUAGGUGUGGGUCGUUAUCAACACGGUCCGUGCCGCAGCUAACGCAGUAAGUGCCCCGCCUGGGGAGUACGGUCGCAAGACUAAAACUCAAAGGAAUUGACGGGGGGCCGCACAAGCGGCGGAGCAUGUUGCUUAAUUCGAUGCAACGCGAAGAACCUUACCUAGGUUUGACAUGUACGGAAAAGCUACAGAGAUGUGGUGUCCUUCGGCGCCGUACACAGGUGGUGCAUGGCUGUCGUCAGCUCGUGUCGUGAGAUGUUGGGUUAAGUCCCGCAACGAGCGCAACCCUUGUCCUAUGUUGCCAGCGCGUAAUGGCGGGAACCCGUAGGAGACUGCCGGGGUCAACUCGGAGGAAGGCGGGGAUGAGGUCAAGUCAUCAUGCCCCUUAUAUCUAGGGCUGCAAACAUGCUACAAUGGACGGUACAACGGGUCGCAAAACCGUGAGGUCAAGCCAAUCCCUGAAAGCCGUUCUCAGUUCGGAUCGAAGUCUGCAACUCGACUUCGUGAAGUUGGAGUCGCUAGUAAUCCCGGAUCAGCAUUGCCGGGGUGAAUACGUUCCCGGUCCUUGUACACACCGCCCGUCACACCACGAAAGUUGGCAACACCCGAAGCCGGUGGCCUAACCCGUAAGGGGAGGAGUCGUCGAAGGUGGGGUCAGUGAUUGGGGUGAAGUCGUAACAAGGUAGCCGUACCGGAAGGUGCGGCUG